rnacentral:rRNA from 1 species
GGGCCCGCACAAGCGGUGGAGUAUGUGGUUUAAUUCGAUGCAACGCGAAGAACCUUACCAGGGUUUGACAUCCUGCGAAUCUCUUGGAAACGAGAGAGUGCCUUCGGGUGAAACGUACACAGGUGCUGCAUGGCUGUCGUCAGCUCGUGUCGUGAGAUGUAGGGUUAAGUCCCGCAACGAGCGCAACCCACGUCUUUAGUUGCCAGCAUUUAGUUGGGCACUCUAGAGAGACUGCCGGUGAUAAACCGGAGGAAGGUGUGGAUGACGUCAAGUCAUCAUGCCCCUUACAUCCUGGGCUACACACGUACUACAAUGCUACGGACAAAGGGCUGCAAGUUCGCGAGGACAAGCAAAUCCCAUAAACCGUGGCUCAGUUCAGAUCGCAGGCUGCAACUCGCCUACGUGAAGGCGGAAUCGCUAGUAA